CACAUAAUGAAAUAUGAAAUUCACUUUGAAUUCUCAUUGUAGUAAAUAUACUCCUAUGACUAUUUUGUGAUGAUUUAAGAACUUUUUUUAUUUGUGUAACACCUCCUUGUAUGUUGUGGGGAGUAGACAUCUGCCUUGCAAAACUUGGCCAAAGUAGUCAUAUUGGGGAAAAAAAUAUCUCCAAAUCAGUUGCGUCUAAGAAUUUUUCCAGUUUAUCUUAUUUUGACCUACAUUUUACAAUUAGGAGUUAAAUCUCUUUAUUUAUGACCUGGAUCCAUUUAUAGCUGGAUAUUGUUAAUACAUAUAAAAAAAUCAAUAUUUAAAAAGUUGCUUUUAUCCCUCUGAGUGAACACUAUAGAGAUGAUGAACAUUUAAGUCUCUAUGCUACUAGCCAAGCUUAAAAGUUACUUGCCUCUGCAAGCCUGGAGGGUCUAUGGCACACUAACCAAGAAUUUUCUACUGGCCAUAGCUGAAUUUUCACUCACCAAUGGCUAGUGGGCAUGUGUAUAUUUGAGCUCUGAUUAAGGUGCGAUAAAGUUUAGCUAUUUUUCUUAUCCUGGGAUUUAAGUUACUGGCACAUUCUCCAAGAAAGGGGCAUUUUAAUGGUGCAGAGCAGUCUUUGAAAUAAGCAGUUGGGUUGUAUAUAUUAAUGGUGCUGAUAUUUAGGGCUAAUUGUUCAGUAAUGGCAGGUGGAGAAUGAUGUCCUCCAUUCUAUGGUGCUUUUUAUAUAUGUGUUUUCAGUGACGAGGAAUGAAGUAAAAAUGCUAAUGUACAUCACAGCUUAUGUACACGGGUCAGCCCUCACUUACUGAAUAGUAUUAGCCGGCAUCAGGCAAAUCAUGUACCAGCAAUCAUUUUAGCUUGUGCCACACCUAGGGACACGUUCCAUAUUGCCAUGCUGAUCGACAAAUCCCAAAAUCCCUGGCAUUACAAAUAAAUAUAUGUGCUCAGGGCAUCCUGCUUUCUGAGUUAUUACCUUUAACAGCAAGGUUAUUCACUAAGGUGUGAAUUGCAAGGGAUUCAAAGUGAAAUCAAAGUUAGUCGACCUGAAAACACAGCUGGUUUACAAAAUGUUUCCAGUUUGGCUGUUUUACCCCAAAAUCGGGAAAUGUAACCUAUACAGGGUUAUUCACUAAAGUGAGAGUUGUUGGGAAUUCAAAGUGAGUUUCAAAGUAAUUGAACUGGAAGAAUUCCUGACUUGGAGAAUGUUUCCAGUUUGGUUAGUUUGAUCUGGAAAUUCACUUUGAACUCACUGGGAAUUCUUGGCUAGACUCACUUUAGUGAAUACGUGAUAAAGGUCUAUGUAAGGGUUAGACAGGCUAUGGUCUUACAGCUACUGCCCAACUGCAAUCCUAGUUACUCUCAGCCAGCCAAAGAAACAGAGGAUACUACAGAGCAAAUUGGGUUAUGAACUAUUGUCUCUUGAUGAGAGUUCAGUGUCAGAUCUUCAUGGAAAUGAAUAUCCAUCCAUUCACAGCCGGAGGGCCAAGACUGGAUACCCCCCGAUACCCUUACUUAAAGGGACACUCUAGGCAGUACACAAUACAUUUUUUGUAAUGCUUUAUAUUGAUAAUGCAUUUAAAAUAUAUAUAAAUACAAAAUAAAUUUUUUUAAAAAUAGAAAACCUAAAGAUGACAUUACUGCAUUUGCUUCAAAUCAACAGGCUUUGCAGCUUCUGCAGUGAGGCAGUAUUAAUCAAAAAAAAAGUGGGAGUUUGGGUCCUGAUUAUUUGGUGAGAUUUUCUGCAGCCACACAAUAUUGCGUCUCGUGAUCCACCAUGUUUUCCUGGCCAUAUAACUCUUAUUCUAACUGACAAGCAAUACAUAAAACAAAUUGACUGUAAUAUGUAGCAUUCAUAUGCUACAGCAGGAGGGAGAUUAAUCAAGGCAGUUCUUUUUAGAUUCCAUCAGGAUAAGUAUUACAGACAAUAGGUUAGCACUCUUCAUGUACUGCCCAACAACAUGUAUGAGAGACACGUGUCCCAGAAAGUCUGUUUAUCUACCAGCUCUCUAAUUAACAUGAAUCCAGCCCCAAGCACUUACAAACAAUCUUCUUGAUGACAAGGACGUUUUGGUCAAACAAUAUGAAGCUUAUAAUUUCAAUUAACUUAUUAAAAAUUACUUUUCGUUUUCCUGUCUAUUUUAAAAGUUCCUUUUUUUGCGUGUUUGAUCAGUUACUGUUUUUACUAGACUAUCACCUGCUGGGAAUUUAAAGCAAAUUUUACAUUUCAGACCACACUAGUCAAACUGGAAAUAUUCUCCAAGUUAGCUAUAUUUUCAGUUUUCAGCUAUAAUCACACUUUAGUGAAUAACUUUGCAGGUGUGAGAAGUUGAACUUUAAUUAAUUAUUUGUUGCUGGGUCUGCCAUGUUUUUACUGGAAGGCUUACAGGCUUGAUGUCUUGCUGUUGGGCUGUACAUGAAAAGUUCUCGCUUACAGUAUGUAACGUCCACAUGCUGCUGAAGAGAAAUCUGUUUAUCGCAGUGUUUACAUCCGACACACAUUAAACUGUCAUUAUAUUCGUUACGGAUUUGGUUAUAGACAGUGUAAGGUCUUAAUUAAAUAAAUGAGAAAAUAAACAGGCAAGUUAUCUCGAGAUGUGUUGGAUAUCAGUAUAAGUACUUUAAAAUGCUCAUGUCUAGUCACACGUGGGUAGAAAAUAACAGGUAUUCUCAAUUUCUUGUGAAAUUAGCAGCUUACUGGCUCAUUAACUUCUUCAUUACCAAUUUAUUAGCAAACAAAUGACCACUGCAAUCUAGAUUGAUUUUAAGUUAUGUUGUAUCUCUUAUUUUAUUGGGGCACUUGCACAAAGAAUGUGUCCUUUAACCCUCUCCGAUGCAUAUUUCAAAGUUUUAUUGGAGGCAAAAUUAAGUGAUUAAUACAGUCUUCAUUUCACUUAGUUACUGAAUUACCAUACCUCCCAAGUCUUUCUUUAGGAGGGACAGUUCCUACUUUAUCCCCAAAUAUCAUCUAUCCCUUUUUUCUAUCCUAAUGUCCCUCUUUUCUAGUAGCUUCGUAUUGUUAGUGUGUGAGUGUAUAACGAAGCUCCACAGCAAUAAUACUCCCAGUAAUGUGUCUUUAAACUACAAUAAAUGUGUUUAGAAACCAGUCUGUGGAAAUAAGACACAUUGUUCUUGUUUUACGUUACAUUUUAGGUUCCAUUAAUCAGUAGGUUAUGACAUCACCUAAAAGGUCCUGUUAUAACCCCGCCGCUGGCUACAUAAUUCAGAGCGAAGAGUCUCUUUUUGGCACAUGAAAUGCUGGAAAGUAUAAAAAAGUAAUUAUUUUCAAUUAUAUUUAGUAAUAAUGUUUUUUUUUUAAAGUGCCUCUAAUAACAGCAGCAAGAGGUAAUAUUACUCCCUGUGUCAUGUGUUCUGCUCACUCAGAUUUAAUCAUAUAUCUAAUUAUCAGCUUUACAUUUAUAUUUAAAACUUUUCAACACUUGGGGUAAGUCUUAUAGGUGAGAUUUCUAGUAGCAGCAGGUAUUUAGUUGGUUUAUGAAUUAACUGUUGGCUUGUAAGAACUGCUUAGUAAGUGGAAGGCUGAGACAAUUUCAUCAGCGGUUGUUGGACCAGUGGACACGGCCACCAAUGAUCCAUUUAUUCUGAACAUUUCAAUUUUUCCAAAAUUUGGUAAUCCAUAAAGGUACACUAUAGGCACCCUGACCAGUUCAGUUCAUUAAAGUGCGCUGGGUGCAGUGACCCUGUCCCCGUAAUCCUGCAAUGUUAAUUCUGAGAAAUUUCAAUAAUUACCUUGCAGGGUUAAGACUUCCUCUAGUGGCUGUUAAUCAGACAGCCACUAGAGGCACUUACUGGUGGUUAGGUGACUUCUGGUUGCCUAACUGACGCUGGACAUCCUCAUGCUCUGCAUGAGAACAUCGAGCAUCAGUCAAAACCCUCAUAGAAAAGCAUUGCCGAAAGGGCCUAAUAUGCUUGCAGCAUUUACAGUGCAUGCGCAUUAUCGUUUCCCCCGUUGGAUACGUCGGAGGGGGCAGAGUGCAGACUGAGCACCAAGGGACAUCGGCACUGGAAUCGGGUUGGUAUAGUAAGGGUUUAACCCUUACACUGCUGGGGAGCUAUAGUGCUAGGAAUACAACGUUGUACUCCUAGCACUAUAGUUUCCCUUUAAAUCUUGGACUAUUACAUGGACAUUGAAAGUGGACAAAAAUGGAAUAGAAUGAAAUCUGUAAAGAUGGGUAUCAUGUAGCACAUUGUAGCUAGCCUUUUUCUAAUUUAAUAAAAAAAUAAAAAUAAAAAAAAUCAAUUGCAAUUAUAAUAAUAUUGAUAGAGAGUUUUAACAAAGGUCAGAUAUUUUGCUGUGUGGCGUUUUCCUGUUAGGGUAGUUAUUUGGCCUUAUGGGUGAUUUUAGGCUACAGGAUCACAUUAAAUAGGAUCCAUGUUGUAUAUACUUCUAUUUAUGGUUCAUCAUACAUUUUGUUAUUUUUCUGAAGGCAAGGAGGUGUGCUUGUUAUAGCGGUUUAUGUGCAGAUAUUUAAGACGAAAUAAAUAUAUAUAAAAAAU
rnacentral:lncRNA from 1 species